AUACCUUUCUCGGCCUUUUGGCUAAGAUCAAGUGUAGUAUCUGUUCUUAUCAGUUUAAUAUCUGAUAUGUGGGCCAUUGGCCCACACGAUAUUAAAUUUAUUUUUUGAGGGGGAUGGGCCACUAUAGUAGCUUGCUACUGGGCUCAUCGAGCGUCGCCUAGGCCUUACACUAUUGCCUGGGCCUGGCGCACCCCAC